rnacentral:tRNA from 1 species
UCCUGGCUGGCUCAGAUGGUAAACAGUCUGCCUGCAAUGCAGGAGACCCAGGUUCGAUCCCUGGCUCAGGAA